UUAAUGAGUUUGACCUUUGACAUAUUAAUUAUGUCCAGAUGUGCACUUUGCCCUAUUAAUAACGUCCAUAUGCGGAACCCCGGCGUGCGUGAAAUCCAUCCGUCAUCCUUUGUGCUCCGCGAGGUGAAAUGUGUUGUUUGUUCAGUGACCAAGUGAUGAAUGAGAUCCCUGAAGAAUGUGUUUGUAGAUCUUAUACACACAUUCUCAUAUCUGGACUCAUCUGCGGACGCGUCUGUGCGUGUGGUACGUGACCGAGGUAUCAGGUUGCGUUCUGUAAUGCCCAGCGUGCGCGCUCUCUCUCUCGCUCUCUGUCUCUCCCGGUCUCUCUCUCUCUGUAUGGGGGCUGUGAGAAAGAUAUUGGCUUUAAGGUCAAUAAUUAAUAAACAAUUUUAACAGA